CGGAACGGGUGAGUAAUGCGUGACCAACCUGCCCCAUGCUCCAGAAUAGCUCUUGGAAACGGGUGGUAAUGCUGGAUGCUCCAACUUGACGCAUGUCUUGUUGGGAAAGUGUUUAGUGGCAUGGGAUGGGGUCGCGUCCUAUCAGCUUGUAGGCGGGGUAAUGGCCCACCUAGGCUUCGACGGGUAGCCGGCCUGAGAGGGCGGACGGCCACAUUGGGACUGAGAUACGGCCCAGACUCCUACGGGAGGCAGCAGUG
rnacentral:rRNA from 1 species